AUGUUUCAGUUCGAACAUUUUUCAAUCAAGUACAACAGGUAUUUUCAGUCUAGGAAGAUUUGGUUAGACACAGCAGCAACCAUGUUCAGCACUGCUUAUUUUUCUGUUUUAGACUGGCGAAUCCUCAUAUUGGUGGACGUCGACUUUGUUACCCUUGUACUGAUGAAUAUGUACGGGUUAGUUGUGGAUGACUAUUGUGUACGAGAAGUUGAAUUUCUCCUCGCCUCUAAAGUGUCCUUCUCAAGCACCAUGUGCUCAGGGAUGGAAAUUCUCAAGCACAAUGUGCCGAGGGUUGUCUUUUUGUGCUCCUAUUCCGGUGUGCGUUGUAAAAAUGACGAAGUCCAGCCUUAUCCUUGUAAAGGUUCAGUGUGUGCGCCAGUUGCAGAAAUUCACAAAUUUCAAAAAGGAUAUAUUACAGUUGUGUGUGCCGUGUGUGUGGGGUGUACUAAAUAUGUUAUGCGGGUGAGAAGUUUAUAG
rnacentral:rRNA from 1 species